AUGCUGAACCCAAAUGAAGCAUCAGGUUUGGGAAAACCUAAGGAGCAGAUAGAGGAUUUGUUGGGUAGGCUGCAGCUCCAUGAGGACGAGGAAGAUAAAUUCGUCUGGGAAGAGGAAUUCAAAGGUGAGAAGAUAGAAGCCAAGUGGCUAGCAAUCGCCAAGGUCCAUACCUUGAAGGGUUUCAGCCCUUCUGCCUUGUAUGCCGAUAUGCGAUCUGCGUGGAAUCCAGCAAGGGAGGUACGUUGGCGCAAGGUGGAAGACAACCUGUUCACGAUUCAGUUUGGAUGUCUCGGUGAUUGGAACACGACGAUGAACAUGGGGCCAUGGCUGUUCAAGAAUCAGGGCUUGCUCAUUGAGGAGUAUGAUGGUUUCACAAAUCCUAUAUCGGUGGUCCUAGACAAAAUAACAGUGUGGGCAAGAGUUCUCUGGCUCCCUGACAAUUUUUUGAUCCCCGUAGCAAUCAAGGGAAUGUGCCGGAAGAUGGGGAAGGUGUUAGAGGUGCAAACUACUCUCCCUGCAGGCUUCGCUGGAGAAUUUGUACGAGUUAGAGUGCAGAUGAAUGUUAACAAGAAGCUUAUCAGAUUUGUCUUGAUGACUAAGAAUGAGGAAACUGAGUAUUAUCAGGUGUAG
rnacentral:rRNA from 1 species